CACACACUCAUACAAACACACACUCUGCAUUAUAUAUACACACACACACAUACAAACACACACUCUGCAUUAUAUAUACACACACACUCAUACAAACACACACUGCAUUAUAUAUACACACACACACUCAUACAAACACACACUGCAUUAUAUACACACACUCUGUGUAUAUAAUGCAGAGUGUGUAUAUAAUGAAGAGUUUGUGUAGUGUG